rnacentral:rRNA from 1 species
CGUCUCAGUUCGGACUGUAGUCUGNAACCCGACUACACGAAGCCGGAAUCGCUAGUAAUCGCGAAUCAGAAUGUCGCGGUGAAUACGUUCCCGGGUCUUGUACACACCGCCCGUCACACCAUGGGAGUCGGAAAUGCCCGAAGUCAGUGACCUAACCGAAAGGGAGGAGCUGCCGAAGGUGGAGCCGGUAACUGGGGUGAAGUCGUAACAAGGUACC